UACGGAGGGGGCUAGCGUUGUUCGGAAUUACUGGGCGUAAAGCGUGCGCAGGCGGUUAUAUAAGACAGUUGUGAAAUCCCCGGGCUCAACCUGGGAAUUGCAUCUGUGACUGUAUAGCUAGAGUACGGUAGAGGGGGAUGGAAUUCCGCGUGUAGCAGUGAAAUGCGUAGAUAUGCGGAGGAACACCGAUGGCGAAGGCAAUCCCCUGGACCUGUACUGACGCUCAUGCACGAAGGCGUGGGGAGCGAACGGG
rnacentral:rRNA from 1 species